GACGAACGCUGGCGGCGUGCUUAACACAUGCAAGUCGAACGGACAGGCCCUGCUUUUGUGGGUUGCUCGAUUGGCGAACGGGUGAGUAACACGUGAGUAACCUGCCCUUGACUUUGGGAUAACUUCAGGAAACUGGGGCUAAUACCGGAUAGGAGCUCCUGCAGCAUGGUGGGGGUUGGAAAGUUUCGGCGGUUGGGGCUGGACUCGCGGCUUAUCCGCUUGUUAGUGGGGUAGUGGCUUCCCAAGGCUUAGACGGGUAGCCGGCCUGAGAGGGUGAACGGCGACAAUGGGACUGAGAUACGGACCAGACGCCAACGGGAGGCAGCAGGCGGGAAUAUUGCACAAUGGGGGGAAGCCUGAUGCAGCAACGCCGCGUGCGGGAUGACGGCCUUCGGGUGGUAAACAGCUUUCGCAUGUGACGAAGCGUGAGUGACGGUAAUGGGUAAAGAAGCACCGGCUAACUACGUG
rnacentral:rRNA from 1 species